GUGGGGAAUCUUCCGCAAUGGACGAAAGUCUGACGGAGCAACGCCGCGUGAGUGAUGAAGGUCUUCGGAUUGUAAAGCUCUGUUAAUCGGGACGAAAGAGCCUAGUGUGAAUAAUGCUAGGAAGUGACGGUACCGGAAUAGAAAGCCACGGCUAACUACGUGCCAGCAGCCGCGGUAAUACGUAGGUGGCAAGCGUUGUCCGGAAUUAUUUGGCGUAAAGCGCGCGCAGGCGGAUCUGCCAGUCUGUCUUAAAAGUUCGGGGCUUAAGCCCGUGAUGGGAUGGAAACUACAGAUCUAGAGUAUCGGAGAGGAAAGUGGAAUUCCUAGUGUAGCGGUGAAAUGCGUAGAUAUUAGGAAGAACCCCAGUGGCGAAGGCGACUUUCUGGACGAAAACUGACGCUGAGGCGCGAAAGCCAGGGGAGCGAACGGGAUUAGAAACCCUAGUAGUCC
rnacentral:rRNA from 1 species